rnacentral:rRNA from 1 species
AUUGAACGCUGGCGGCAGGCCUAACACAUGCAAGUCGAGCGGAUGAAGGGAGCUUGCUCCUGGAUUCAGCGGCGGACGGGUGAGUAAUGCCUAGGAAUCUGCCUGGUAGUGGGGGAUAACGUCCGGAAACGGGCGCUAAUACCGCAUACGUCCUGAGGGAGAAAGUGGGGGAUCUUCGGACCUCACGCUAUCAGAUGAGCCUAGGUCGGAUUAGCUAGUUGGUGGGGUAAAGGCCUACCAAGGCGACGAUCCGUAACUGGUCUGAGAGGAUGAUCAGUCACACUGGAACUGAGACACGGUCCAGACUCCUACGGGAGGCAGCAGUGGGGAAUAUUGGACAAUGGGCGAAAGCCUGAUCCAGCCAUGCCGCGUGUGUGAAGAAGGUCUUCGGAUUGUAAAGCACUUUAAGUUGGGAGGGAGGGCAGUAAGUUAAUACCUUGCUGUUUUGACGUUACCAACAGAAUAAGCACCGGCUAACUUCGU